GUUUCCUACCCUGUAUGCGAUACUUCCACCACCUAUGUCAGUAUGUCUCGUUCCCCCGUUGACUAGACCACUUCCUCCAAGUAGGAACAAGUUAGUAGGGUUAGACGAUGGAGAAGAACUGUUACGGUAUUAUCGUCACUUCGACACUUCCAGACGGAACAUGAAAAACAUCAAGGAGAAGAUCACUUCGGAAAGGAACGUCUUCUGCGUGAGUUGGAGAUUUAACCCGUUGGAUGGAAAGGCUCCGAGGCUUUUCUACUUCUACCUCUCUCAAUCCGGAACCUUUACACUUCUAAAACUCCCACAAAACCCAAACUCUCAUGCUUUUCUUUUUGAAGUCUCAGAGGAAAACUAUCAUACUCUAUGAGGUUUGGUUUUGUUCCUCAUUUUAAAAUGAGAAUUGUCGGUUCUUUGACACGUUGUGUUUAAGACAUCAGUUGUUUUGACUUUGACCUCAGCCACGAAUCUUGACGUCCUCAUCAGUCAAAAGGAUUAAAAUGAGAAUUGUUGUA
rnacentral:rRNA from 1 species